rnacentral:rRNA from 1 species
AGUACGGCGGAACACGAGAAAUUCCGUCGGAAUCCGCGGGGACCAUCCCGCAAGGCUAAAUACUCCCUAGUGACCGAUAGUGAACCAGUACCGUGAGGGAAAGGUGAAAAGCACCCCGGAAGGGGAGUGAAAUAGAUCCUGAAACCGUGUGCCUACAACAAGUCAAAGCUCGUUAAUGAGUGAUGGCGUGCCUUUUGUAGAAUGAACCGGCGAGUUACGAUUGCAUGCGAGGUUAAGUCGAAGAGACGGAGCCGCAGCGAAAGCGAGUCUGAAUAGGGCGAAUGAGUAUGUAGUCGUAGACCCGAAACCAUGUGAUCUACCCAUGUCCAGGUUGAAGGUGCGGUAAAACGCACUGGAGGACCGAACCCACGUACGUUGAAAAGUGCGGGGAUGAGGUGUGGGUAGCGGAGAAAUUCCAAACGAACUUGGAGAUAGCUGGUUCUCUCCGAAAUAGCUUUAGGGCUAGCCUCGGAAUUGAGAAUGAUGGAGGUAGAGCACUGUUUGGACUAGGGGCCCAUCUCGGGUUACCGAAUUCAGAUAAACUCCGAAUGCCAUUCAUUUAUAUCCGGGAGUCAGACUGCGAGUGAUAAGAUCCGUAGUCGAAAGGGAAACAGCCCAGACCACCAGCUAAGGUCCCAAAAUAUAUGUUAAGUGGAAAAGGAUGUGGGGUUGCACAGACAACUAGGAUGUUGGCUUAGAAGCAGCCACCAUUUAAAGAGUGCGUAAUAGCUCACUAGUCGAGUGACCCUGCGCCGAAAAUGUACCGGGGCUAAACAUAUUACCGAAGCUGUGGACUACACCAUUAGGUGUAGUGGUAGGAGAGCGUUCUAAGGGCGUUGAAGGUCGAUCGUGAGGACGGCUGGAGCGCUUAGAAGUGAGAAUGCCGGUAUGAGUAGCGAAAGACAGGUGAGAAUCCUGUCCACCGUAUGACUAAGGUUUCCUGGGGAAGGCUCGUCCGCCCAGGGUUAGUCGGGACCUAAGCCGAGGCCGAUAGGCGUAGGCGAUGGACAACAGGUUGAUAUUCCUGUACCAGUUGUU